AUACGGAGGGUGCAAGCGUUAAUCGGAAUUACUGGGCGUAAAGCGCGCGUAGGCGGUUUGAUAAGUCGGAUGUGAAAUCCCCGGGCUCAACCUGGGAAUUGCAUUCGAUACUGUCAGGCUAGAGUGUGGUAGAGGGAAGUGGAAUUUCCGGUGUAGCGGUGAAAUGCGUAGAUAUCGGAAGGAACACCAGUGGCGAAGGCGGCUUCCUGGACCAGCACUGACGCUGAGGUGCGAAAGCGUGGGGAGCAAACAGGAUUAGAAACCCUAGUAGUCC
rnacentral:rRNA from 1 species